AUGACCAGCCGGGCCGCCCCGAGGCAGGAGCGCGGCGGGGCCGCAGGGGUCGCAGCCCCGGGCAGGUGCACGACCAGCCGGGCCGCCCCGAGGCAGGUGCGCGGCCCCGGGCAGGUGCACGGCCAGCCGGGCCGUCCCGAGGUAGGUGCGCGGCGGGGCCGCAGGGAUCGCAGCCGCGGGCAGGUGCGCGCCCCGCCGGCGGGCUCUCGGCUCCGGGGCCGCGGCGCGAACAGCUUCCCUCGAAGCGCAGCCCCGCUCGGAGCCGAAUCCCCGCCCCCCCAGGCUCAAACGGACGCGGGCUCGCGGCGCGGCCACCACCGGACGCCGCCGGCCCGGCCCGGCUCCAGGGCCUCCCGGACGGAGCCCGCCGCCCCUCUCCCCCCGCGACGCCCCGCGGCUGGGUGCGGCGGGCUCGCUGGGGUCGCCCCGGCCGGCGAGCGCACCCCCGGCUGCAGCCCCGCGCUCGGGACCCCGAGGAGGCGGGCGCGCCCUCUGCCCGCCGACCGCGCUGCCGGCCCGCCCGCCCCCCACAAAGCCCAAGGGUGCCCGCGCCCCCCGCCCUCCGCCCCCGCGCCCGCGCCCGCCCCUCGAAGCCUCUCCGCCCCCCGCGCUCCCGGCGGGCCCGCUCCCCCCGACUCCCGCCAGUCCCAGCCCGGAGGCGAAACCGCCACCGAAACCCGCGCCGGGCGCCACCCCCGCCCCUCCGGGACCCGAGCCUCGAGCCCGCGCGGGGACCCCGGCCGCCCCGCGCCCCCCGCCCCCGCCCCCCCCGCAGCUCACUUGGCGGCGCACCUGACGCCGAGCGCGGCCCGCACGCAGCCGGGAGCCAGCCGAGGAAUGCGGCCAGCCCUUCGGCGCUCGCCGGCCCCCGCCCCCGCCCCCUCCCCUCCCCCCCCACCCCGUCCCCGGGCAUGCGCACCGGCGCCCCGCCCGACCUGGAGCCGCGCGGCCCCGCGUCCGCCUCACCUGUUGCGCCGCGCGGGCCCCUGCGCUCGGGCCGCACCCCGGAGCCCCGCCGCCUCCCGCAGGGACGGAGAAGGGGGCGGUGGCCGCCGGCGGGAGAGCGCGGGGCGCCGCCUCCUCCCUCCGUGA
rnacentral:lncRNA from 1 species